UACGGGGGGGAGCAAGCGUUGUUCGGAUUUACUGGGCGUAAAGAGCGCGCAGGCGGUCGUUCAAGUCGCGUGUGAAAGCCCCCGGCUCAACUGGGGAGGGUCACGCGAUACUGAUCGACUGGAAGGCAGGAGAGGGUAGUGGAAUUCCCGGUGUAGUGGUGAAAUGCGUAGAUAUUCGCAAGAACACCAGUGGCGAAGGCGAUUCCUGGCUCGGUACUGACUGCUAAGGCGCGAAAGCGUGGGAGCA
rnacentral:rRNA from 1 species